AUCCAGGGAUGGGAAUCGAACCCACAGUGUUCAGUUACGGGCAGAUGCCAUGUACACUAGGCUACUUUGGA